rnacentral:rRNA from 1 species
UCGGGUUGUAAAGCACUUUCAGUGGGGAAGAAAUCCUCAGGGCCAAUACCCCUGAGGGAGGACAUCACCCACAGAAGAAGCACCGGCUAACUCCGUGCCAGCAGCCGCGGUAAUACGGAGGGUGCAAGCGUUAAUCGGAAUUACUGGGCGUAAAGCGCGCGUAGGCGGCGUGAUCAGCCGGUUGUGAAAGCCCCGGGCUCAACCUGGGAACGGCAUCCGGAACUGUCACGCUAGAGUGCAGGAGAGGAAGGUAGAAUUCCCGGUGUAGCGGUGAAAUGCGUAGAGAUCGGGAGGAAUACCAGUGGCGAAGGCGGCCUUCUGGACUGACACUGACGCUGAGGUGCGAAAGCAUGGGUAGCAAACAGGAUUAGAUACCCUGGUAGUCCAUGCCGUAAACGAUGUCGACUAGCCGUUGGGGUCCUUGUGACCUUUGUGGCGCAGUUAACGCGAUAAGUCGACCGCCUGGGGAGUACGGCCGCAAGGUUAAAACUCAAAUGAAUUGACGGGGGCCCGCACAAGCGGUGGAGCAUGUGGUUUAAUUCGAUGCAACGCGAAGAACCUUACCUACUCUUGACAUCGUGCGAACUUUCCAGAGAUGGAUUGGUGCCUUCGGGAACGCACAGACAGGUGCUGCAUGGCCGUCGUCAGCUCGUGUUGUGAAAUGUUGGGUUAAGUCCCGUAACGAGCGCAACCCCUAUCCCUAUUUGCCAGCGAUUCGGUCGGGAACUCUAGGGAGACUGCCGGUGACAAACCGGAGGAAGGUGGGGAUGACGUCAGGUCAUCAUGGCCCUUACGAGUAGGGCUACACACGUGCUACAAUGGCCGGUACAAAGGGUUGCGAAGCCGCGAGGUGUAGCUAAUCCCGAAAAGCCGGUCUCAGUCCGGAUCGGAGUCUGCAACUCGACUCCGUGAAGUCGGAAUCGCUAGUAAUCGUGAAUCAGAAUGUCACGGUGAAUACGUUCCCGGGCCUUGUACACACCGCCCGUCACACCAUGGGAGUGGACUGCACCAGAAGUGGUUAGCUUAACCUUCGGGAGAGCGAUCACCACGGUGUGGCUCAUGACUGGGGUGAAGUCGUAACAAGGUAGCCGUAGGGGAACCUGCGGCUGGAUCACCUCCUUA